rnacentral:rRNA from 1 species
AGUGAACGCUGGCGGUAGGCCUAACACAUGCAAGUCGAACGGCAGCACAGGAGAGCUUGCUCUCUGGGUGGCGAGUGGCGGACGGGUGAGGAAUACAUCGGAAUCUGCCCAGUCGUGGGGGAUAACGUAGGGAAACUUACGCUAAUACCGCAUACGACCUUCGGGUGAAAGAGGGGGAUCGCAAGACCUCUCGCGAUUGGAUGAGCCGAGGUCGGAUUGGCUAGUUGGCGGGGUAAUGGCCCACCAAGGCGACGAUCCGUAGCUGGUCUGAGAGGAUGAUCAGCCACACUGGAACUGAGACACGGUCCAGACUCCUACGGGAGGCAGCAGUGGGGAAUAUUGGACAAUGGGCGCAAGCCUGAUCCAGCCAUACCGCGUGGGUGAAGAAGGCCUUCGGGUUGUAAAGCCCUUUUGUUGGGAAAGAAAUCUUUCAGGCUAAUACCCUGGGAGGAUGACGGUACCCAAAGAAUAAGCACCGGCUAACUUCGUG